rnacentral:snRNA from 1 species
GGAUGUGAGGGUGAUCUAGCUGCGAUAUCUGUCACCCCAUUGAUUGCCAGGAUUGAUUCAGCUGAUCUGGCUGCUAGGCAGGUGUCCCCUUCCUCCCUCACUGCUCCAUGUGUGUCCCUCCUGAAGCUGCAUACUCAGAUGAAGAUGACAACCAUCCCCAACAGAGGAGAACUGCUCUUCCGUCAAGGGUAUAUGAGUUCUUCAGUUCUAUCCAUUUACUUGCAAAUGAUAAGAUUUCAUUUUUUU